GGAGUUAGCCGGUGCUUCUUCUGUGAGUGAUGUCCUUCCUGCCGGUUAUUGACCCGCAGGCCUUCUUCCUCACUGAAAGUGCUUUACAACCCGAAGGCCUUCUUCACACACGCGGCAUGGCUGGAUCAGGGUUGCCCCCAUUGUCCAAUAUUCCCCACUGCUGCCUCCCGUAGGAGUCUGGGCCGUGUCUCAGUCCCAGUGUGGCUGAUCAUCCUCUCAGACCAGCUACGGAUCGUCGCCUUGGUGAGCCGUUACCUCACCAACCAGCUAAUCCGACAUAGGCUCAUCCGAUAGCGCGAGGCCCGAAGGUCCCCCGNUUUCCCCCGUAGGGCGUAUGCGGUAUUAGCCUGGGUUUCCCCAGGUUAUCCCCCACUACCGGGCAGAUUCCUAUGCAUUACUCACCCGUCCGCCGCUCGCCACCAGGGAGCAAGCUCCCCGUGCUGCCGCUCGACUUGCAUGUGUAGCUCGCCGCCACGCGUCAUCUGAGCGAGAUACAACUACUCGA
rnacentral:rRNA from 1 species